GUGCAAUGGCAUAAGCCAGCUUGACUGCGAGCGUGACGGCGCGAGCAGGUGCGAAAGCAGGUCAUAGUGAUCCGGUGGUUCUGAAUGGAAGGGCCAUCGCUCAACGGAUAAAAGGUACUCCGGGGAUAACAGGCUGAUACCGCCCAAGAGUUCAUAUCGACGGCGGUGUUUGGCACCUCGAUGUCGGCUCAUCACAUCCUGGGGCUGAAGUAGGUCCCAAGGGUAUGGCUGUUCGCCAUUUAAAGUGGUACGCGAGCUGGGUUUAGAACGUCGUGAGACAGUUCGGUCCCUAUCUGCCGUGGGCGCUGGAGAACUGAGGGGGGCUGCUCCUAGUACGAGAGGACCGGAGUGGACGCAUCACUGGUGUUCGGGUUGUCAUGCCAAUGGCACUGCCCGGUAGCUAAAUGCGGAAGAGAUAAGUGCUGAAAGCAUCUAAGCACGAAACUUGCCCCGAGAUGAGUUCUCCCUGAGACUUAAAGUCUCCUGAAGGAACGUUGAAGACGACGACGUUGAUAGGCCGGGUGUGUAAGCGCAGCGAUGCGUUGAGCUAACCGGUACUAAUGAACCGUGAGGCUUAACCUUACA
rnacentral:rRNA from 2 species